GUGAAUCUGAGUUUGAUUUGAGGUAUGAACACAACUUUUUUGUGACUUACCUUGAUGUUUAGCAUGUGUUUUCGAUUAUUAGAAUAUCUGUAAGUGCUUUUCUUUUGGAAGAGGACUGCAUUAUUGUUAUAAAUCUAGUGAUCCUUUUAGAUAUGCUUUUAGGAGCUAGUAUUCUCUAAUUAACAUAUGAUAUGACAAUAGUUAGGUAUCUGAUGACCCAAAGUGAGAAGUGCAAUUAUGCUUUGAAAGUCAACUUUAGGAUUUAAAAAAAAAAAAAGAGCUUGGGGA
rnacentral:misc_RNA from 1 species